rnacentral:rRNA from 1 species
UACAAAGGAAGUUGGACGGGGAGGCACUACAACGGGUGGAGCCUGCGGUUUAAGUUGGAUUCAACGCCGGAAUCUCACCGGGGCGACAGCAAUAUGAAAGUCAGGCUGAAGACCUUACCCGAUUAGCUGAGAGGUGGUGCAUGGCCGUCGUCAGUUCGUACUGUGAAGCAUCCUGUUAAGUCAGGCAACGAGCGAGACCCACGUCCACAGUUGCCAGCAUACCCUCCGGGGUGAUGGGUACACUGUGGAGACCGCCGCUGCUAAAGCGGAGGAAGGAGUGGGCAACGGUAGGUCAGUAUGCCCCGAAUCUCCCGGGCUACACGCGGGCUACAAUGGUUGGUACAAUGGGCAUCUACCCCGAAAGGGGAAGGAAAUCUCUUAAAGCCAAUCGUAGUUCGGAUUGAGGGCUGCAACUCGCCCUCAUGAAGCUGGAAUCCGUAGUAAUCGCGUUUCAACAGAACGCGGUGAAUACGUCCCUGCUCCUU